AGACCCGUGGAGGGCGGGGCUUCUACGUCGUAUCAAUGUGGCGCUGUGAGGGGGAAACAGGGAAACUGAAUUCACCAGAACACCGGUUAAGAGAAUGGGGAAUUUCACGUCGGCAGCGCCUGGGUUGUCAAGCUCAGCAUGUACUCAGUUUGUCCAGGUAAGCUUGUACUGGUUUGUUUUGGUUCAUAGUAUUCAGAAAA